rnacentral:rRNA from 1 species
AGUAACUAUUGGAAACGAUAGCUAAUACCGCAUAACAAAUGGAUGACCCAUGUCAUUUAUUUGAAAGGGGCAAAUGCUCCACUACAAGAUGGACCUGCGUUGUAUUAGCUAGUAGGUGAGGUAACGGCUCACCUAGGCGACGAUACAUAGCCGACCUGAGAGGGUGAUCGGCCACACUGGGACUGAGACACGGCCCAGACUCCUACGGGAGGCAGCAUG